ensembl:snoRNA LOC120097986 small nucleolar RNA SNORA48
UGCCCCCUACCAAUGGGCAAAGAGACACUUUGUUGGUAGUGGUGUUCUUAGUCAGGGGCAGAACAGAUGGCAGUCCUUUGUUUAAUCUAGCCUGAGACAUGGUUUGGUAGCCAAAUCUAUUUUAUUCCUAGGACUCAUAC